UCUAACGGAUGAGAAAAAGCAAUCCUAAGUGAAACUGUUGCAGUGGAAGCCAGCCUACACCCUCCAAUUUUUUCACGCUCCCGCACUUCAUUUCAGACUCCAUCCUCCUCUCAAACCAUCUCCUAUUUUCUUUGGUCAGAAUCGAUACCUUUCUCAAACUCCCUCUCUCUUUCUCUGCCCUCUCAGUUUCUCUCCUCUCAAACUCCAUCUCUGUCUUGCUCUCUCAGUUUCUCUGCGUCGAUAUCCCUCCCCGACGUCAUCUCUCUCUUUCCUUUCCCUAUCAAAAAUCGAGGUCCAAAAGCCCUAUUUACUGCUCUCAUUUGGCAUCUGUUUCAUUUUCCUAUUCGUUGUUGUCCUCUACCUGUGUUGUCCAUCCUGCCGUUCUCUCAGUUGGAAACGCCCAAAACCCCCAUGUGGUUAGAGCACCCACCCUAAUAUCUGAGAUCUCGUUGAGAGGUGCAGUGAGGUCGGUGAUGAUGACGAUGGUGAAGAAGCCAGAAAGGCAGAGGCUCUGCUUCGUCAGUUCAACGAAUCGGAAAUCAUGUUUUUGAUGGCUGAGUAGCGGAAUAGAAUGGAUAUUACCAAUCCAAAUAUCCAGAUGGCUGAGUGUGAACUAGGUUAUUUAGCUUCUUAAGAUUAUAUUGUAUCUGCUUUCCAUUGACGUUUGCUGUUCAAACUGCAGCAUCUCACUUAUUCAAUUUAUUGGUUUGCCUUCUAAUUCUUUGAGUAUAUGUCGUGAUUUUUUUUUGGGACUUUUGUCAUCUGCUUGUAUCAUUGUGCUUUCUUCACUUGUUUAGAUCAAGUAUUAUGUUGACGAGUGUGAGAUCUUUUCAAUAUGUUGAGAAAUGUGAGAUAAACUUUUUUAUAUUCCUGUUUGCUCGAUGAGACGCACAGCUUGUGCAGCCAUUGAGUCAUCUAAGCUUAUGCAAGAGAAGCACAGGGAAAUACCAUCUUAUUCGAGGGUCUGCUUAUGGAUAAAGAAUUUGGUUUGUCUCAAAUUAUGGAGAAGAUUUUUCUUCUGCUCUUUGGGAUUGUAUUGUUACAGCUUGUGGUUCAUUGCUCUGGUACUGAUUUAAAGAUACAAUUUGUUGCAGGAGAAAGCAGCGCAAGAGAGACUCAGCAGAUAGAGGGAUGGGGAAGCAUCAUGGUGAGUCAACAUAAGCAUUGAUCAUGACUUCUUCGAGCAGUGAAUCAAAGUCCCUCUUUUUCGUGGACAAGUCCAAAGUAAUUCAAUUGCUUCUGUACAUCAAUCCCGAAUUUCAGUUCAGCUGCCAGAGUUAGGUUUUUUUUUAGUUUAGAUUUAGGUUUGGCCAAAAGGUGCUAGCAAUGGGUACAACGACAUAGCCACCACCACCACCACCGUAUAUAAGCUCUACAAAGAUUACUUGCAAAACCCCAAAAGGGACAUAAUUUGCGAUGGUGGCAAUUACGCUAUGGAAUCGUCUCUCACCUUUCUGACGUAUAAGGGUUCCGUUCCAUACCCGAAGCAAAAGAAGUAGAGGAAACUAUAUUUCAUGUUUUCCUGAAAGAAAGUUCUUAUGUACUCUGAUGUUGGCUUCAUUUAUGCGGGUCAUUUCUUUACUGAGCCAGACUACAAUGGGCUACAAUUGCUACAAGGGGAGAGGCCAUCCAUGGUUGAAGAAGGGCAAUGGAUAUACCACACACCUACCUAAAUGAGCAAAGGAAGAUUGAUGUAACAAUUAGCAGGGAGCUGCUAUAGGAUUCUAUACAAUGAAGUGCUUCCACUACUUCAACAACAAAAUAAAGGAGGUGGGAACAACGAUUGCUACAGAACCGAGGAAAUCUGAUUAUUCAGGAGCUGAAUAUGGUCAUUAAGUCUUCAUGCUCAACAAAAUCACCCAACUCUGUAAGCCAGAAUUGUAGGAAGAGAUGGUUUCAAAUAUGUUAAUGAGAUAUGAGUACAUUUGCUGUUUUAUGUAGGAUCUUGGUAUUUGUAGGUAUUUGUAUAUUUUUUUAAAUUCAUUUUUUGUGAUA